GCAAACUUGGUCAUUUAGAGGAAGUAAAAGUCGUAACAAGGUUUCCGUAGGUGAACCUGCGGAAGGAUCAUUAUUGAAUGAACUUGACUUGGUUGUAGCUGGUCCUCUAGGGGACAUGUGCUCGCCUUGUCAUCUUUAUCUAUCCACCUGUGAACCUUUUGUAGACUUGGGACUAGUGAAUUGGAGAGCAUGCUCUCUUUGAAGCUAUACCAGGCCUAUGUUUUCAUAUACCCCAAAGAAUGUAACAGAAUGUAUUGUAUGGCCUUGUGCCUAUAAAUCAUAUACAACUUUCAGCAACGGAUCUCUUGGCUCUCGCAUCGAUGAAGAACGCAGC
rnacentral:misc_RNA from 1 species